GAUGAAGAACGCAGCGAAAUGCGAUAAGUAAUGUGAAUUGCAGAAUUCAGUGAAUCAUCGAAUCUUUGAACGCACCUUGCGCUCCUUGGUAUUCCGAGGAGCAUGCCUGUUUGAGUGUCAUGAAAUUCUCAACCUUUUCAGCUUUCUUUGUUGAUCAGGCUUGGAUGUGGGAGUUUGCGGGCUUCUCAGAAGUCGGCUCUCCUGAAAUGCAUUAGCGGGACCUUUGUUGCCUGGCUUUGGUGUGAUAAUUAUCUACGCCAUUGUAGUCAAGCAGCUUAAAAUGAGGUUUCAGCUUCUAACCGUCUCCCCUGAGACAACUUUUUGACAAUUUGACCUCAAAUCAGGUAGGACUACCCGCUGAACUUAAGCAUAUCAAUAAGCGGAGGA
rnacentral:misc_RNA from 1 species